CAGUAGCCGCGGGAAUACGAGGGGGGCAAGCGUUGUUCGGAAUUAUUGGGCGUAAAGGGUGCGUAGGCGGUUUGGCAAGUCUUGUGUGAAAUCUUCGGGCUCAACCCGAAGCCUGCACGAGAAACUGCCUGGCUUGAGUAUUGGAGAGGUGAGUGGAAUUUCCGGUGUAGCGGUGAAAUGCGUAGAUAUCGGAAGGAACACCUGUGGCGAAAGCGGCUCACUGGACAAUAACUGACGCUGAUGCACGAAAGCUAGGGGAGCAAACAGGAUUAGAUACCCCUGUAGUCCCUGUCUCUUAUAC
rnacentral:rRNA from 1 species